CAGACUCAAACUGGUCUGACAUAACCCUGCCUUUAACAUUGCAUCUAGUGAUGGCCACCUGCAGUUCAAAUAUUCCAUAUUCUCAGCUUGAUCCACAAAUUUCCGAGCUCUGAGUAGCGCUCAUAUUUGUAUGUAUAUCUUUCAGGAUUGUGAUGAAGGUAAUUUCAGCCAUCAAGUCCACACCCGCUAGAACAUCUAACAAACAGUACAAUUCAACGACUCAGCCACACACACUAUUGGCAAUUUAAAAUGACCAAUUGACCUUCCAUCUGCACAACAUGUGGAUGAGUGUGGAAACUGGAGCACCUGGGGGAAAUACAUGCAGUCACAGGAAGAACAUGCAAACUCCGCAUAGACAGCACCCAAGACUCUUAUGUCAGUGACCAUCCAACUGUGACUGCAUGAUAUUCAGUGACAAUACCUGGGUGUUCCAAGACCGUGUGAAGAGAUUGCGGCUGCUGUGGACCUAUUGUGGUGAUUGACAAAUUGCAGUGAGUCCACGUCCUUGCUGAGGUGGGAACUUCUAACCGUAGCAAUGAGAGGCUGAAACUGUUCUUGAAUACUCCCGCCAGCUGUUUGGCACAGGCUUUCAGAACCUCAUCAGAUACUUCAUCGGGGCCUGCCACCUUGCGAAGGUUCAUCCUCCCCAAAGACAGCCCAACAUCAGUCUCCGAGACAGAGAUCACAGGGUCACCGGAUGUAGCAGGGAUCUUCACAGCUGUAGUUAUAUUCUCCCUUUCAAAGCGGGUAUAGAAGGUUUUGAGUUUGAAUGGUAGUGAAGCAAUACUGCCACUCAUGCUAGUGGGUUUCGCUUUGUAGAAACUAAUGUCUUGCAAACCCUGCUAGAGUUGUUGCACAUCCGAUGUCGCCUCCAACCUCACUUGGAAUAGCCCUCUGCAAGUCAUACCUGGUUUCCCUUUACAGACCUGGGUCACCAGACUUAAAUGCCACAGAUCUAGCUGUCAGCAGACAACGUACCUCCUGCUUCAUCUAUGGCUUUUGCUUUGGGAAUGUACGGUAAGUCUUUAGGCGCACACACUCAUCCACACAGGUUUUACACAACUGUAGUAUACACAUCCAGAUUCAAAGAUGAGUCCCUAAAUGCAGACCAGUCCACCAAUUCAAAGCAGUCCUGUAGGCACUCCUGUGCUUCCCUUGUCCAUACCUUCACUACUGGUGCUGCAGUCUUAGUCUCUGCCUGUAGCCAGGGAGAAGAAAUACAGCCAGGUGAUCAGACAUUCUGAAGUGAGGGCAUGGAACAGCACGGUAGGCAUUCUUGAUGGUGGUGUAGCAGUGGUCCAGUGUGUUGCUUCCUCUGGUACUACAAGUGAUUUGUUGAUGACAAUUAUUUAGUGACUUUUUCAAGCUGGCCUGGUUAAAAUCCCCCAAAAUGAUGGUGAAGGAGUCAGGGUGUGCUGUUUUGUACAUGUUGAUCCCAUUGCUCAGAUCAUCUGGAACCCAUUUGACAUUGGCCUGAGGUGGAAUGCAAACUGCUUCCAAAAUGAUCGCAGUAAUCUCCCACGGCAGGUAAAAUGGACGGAUCUUAGUUGCAAGAUAUUCCAGGUCUGGUGAGCAGAAUUGAGAUAACACUGAUACAUCUGUGCACCAAGAGCAGUUGACCAUGAGACACUGUGGAAAGGAGUAACAGUCGACCUUUCGGGCCAGGACCCUUCAGCAGGACUGAAAUGUCAUCUGUAAUCUUGAAAUAAUCAAGUUCAGUAGUGUGACACAGGCUUGAGAUAAACUUCUAGAAAAGACAGUAUCAACUGUACGAUUACUGAAUAUUCAUUGAACAUUUACACACAUACCCAUGCUAAAAUUAUAUGCAAGCACAGAAAAGUCAAACUACAACAAAAAUACACUCUAAGGCUAUAAGACACAGGAGCAAAAUUAGGCCAUUCAGUCCUUUGAGUCUGCUCCACCAUUCCUUCAUGGCUGAUUUAUUAUCCCUCUCAGCCCCGUACUCCUGCCUUCUACCCAUAACCUUUGAAGACAUGACUAAUCAAGACCCUAAUAAAAGCAAACCAACAUCAUACAUUAUUGGGUGGUUCGUGGUUUGUAUGGAUUCAGAGGGCUGUAGGAUUCAUUUCCAUGUCUUGUGACUCUCUAUAUCUAUAGAAAUCAUAAACCCCCUAACUUUCUGUACAAAGUAUAUUCUUAAUUUAUAUAGCACCCAACAUAGCAACCCAAACAUUGAAAACAGUUAAGCACUUCAGUGUAGCAAAUGCCCUAACAGAGAAAUUUGGGUCAACUUGAGCACUGUAUCUCCCACAAAUUACAACACAACAGCAAUAACCUGCUUUAUAACAAUGUUAAAUUCAAGUUCAAGUUUAUUGUCAUCUGACUGUGCAUAUACAGGCAGUCCUCGGGUUACGAACAAGUUCUGUUCCGGAGUCUGUCUUUAAGUCAGAUUUGUAUGCAAGUUGGAACAGGUACAUCUGGUAUUAUUUAGCGUCAGUUAGUCAAACGUUUGUCUUAGUAUAUGGUAUAUAUUUUACCUUUCUAUGCAUAUAAAACACUUAAGAGAUGUAUGCAUUUCAAUAAUUAAACCACUGCGUUGCUUAGUAAUAAUUGUAGCUUUCAUCGGGGCUGAGCCUUUCACAUGCUCCAUUAUUCUCACCUUAUCCUUUAAAAUUGUUCCGAUCGUUGACCGACUGUAGCCUAACACUUUUCCAGUGACCGAUGGCAUCUCACCUCUUUCUGAUCACUUUAUUAUUUCCACUUUAUUUUCAAUCGUGAUCAUUUUCCAUCAACGGAACAGAAACACUGCAGAUUCAGCAGCAGCUAUGGGCAGCAAGUCCUGACCUGAGCUCCCCUGGGUCCUAAAGUCCACUGCACUGAGACUAGUUAAAUGGGACAAGCGGGUCUGUGCUGACUGGAAAAGUGGGGGGGGGGGGGUGGGGGGCUCAGGGUGAAUCUUGCUAAGAAAAAUUUAAGCCAAAUACGAUGUUACACACUCAACACAGUGUGGAAUUCGGUAACGACUUAAAAUGGCGGACGGCGUCAUGGUCCGACUUAAAAUGGUGGACGGUGUUUUCCUUCCUCGGUUCAUGAGUACAAGUUGUUCAUAAGUCAGAUGUUUGUAACUUGGGGACUGCCUGUAUACAACCAAAUGAAACAACAUUCCUUGGGAUCACGGUGCAGCCUCAAAACAUAUAGUACACACAACAUAUAAAACAGUAUGACAAAUGAGUAAAUAAAAUAUAAUUCAAAAUGCAUGUAGUGUGCAGCACACUUAAAACUGUAAUCUGUACAUUAUUGCCCUUGGCACUGGGAUAAUCUUAAAUUUUGAAAUAUGAACACAAUUAACAAUUAAGUUCACUUGAUGUAGUUGAUGGUUUAAUUGUAAAAGGCUGCAAACCCUCAGAGAUGUACACACAAAAUGCUGGAGGAGCUCAGCAGGCCAGGCAAUAACUGUGGAAAAGAGUAAGCAACCAAUAUUUUGGGCCAAGGCCCUUCAUCAGGACAGAAGAUUUGAACUUUUCAGGGUAGGCAUCCCUGGAAGAGACCUUUCAGUGAAUCAGAAACAAAAAAAUCUGCAGAUUCUAGAAAUCAAAGUAAUACAUACAAAAUGCUGGAGGAACUCAGCAGACCAGGCCACAGCUUUGGAAAAGAGUAAACAGUUGACAUUUUGGGCAGAGACCCUUUAUCAGGCCUGCUGAGUUCCUCCAGUAUUUUGUAUGUGUAACUUUGAUUGCCAGCAUCUGCAGAUUUUCUCGUUUGUAAACUCUCUGACCUGCACCACUUGUUAAAUUUGCAUUUAAUUUCAUGUAGAGACUUGAACCAACAUUUCUUGUUAGAGGGUGUGCCAUAUUUUCUGUAAUCUUCAGGGGUUGAAAAUCUAAGGAUGUUAUUGUGUAUGGUUUCUUCCCCCAAGCUCUCAGACUCCUCAAUACCCGAAGCCAGGACUGACACCUUGCCCUACUGUCCUGUUUAUUAUUGAUUGUAAUGUCUGCACUGUUUUUGUGCACUUUAUGCAGUCCAGUGUAGGUCUGUAGUCUAGUAUAGCUUUCUCUGUGUUUUUAUUACGUAGUUCAAUCUAGUUUUUUGUACUGUGUCAUGUAAACCAUGGUCCAGAAAAAUGUCUCAUUUUUACUAUGCACUGUACCAGCAGUUAUGGUCGAAAUGACAAUAAAAGUUGACUUGACUUGA